UCUGAUCUUACUGUAAGGUGGGGUUUGUCUGGUUUGUUGAGGCAACAGGUCAUUCAAGAUUUCACAUUCUUUUAGUACAUUUUUGAGUCAAUCAAACUGCAACUUGGGCUGAAAUAAGAGAAGUAGAAACUUUAUUAAAUUGGUUAAAUUGGCGUAGGGGAGACCCAGCCCAUGCCAUGGGCAAUAAGGUUGCGAGUGGCUUUGUAUCUGGCUCAAGCUUUAUAAUAUUGCAGCAGCAAAGGGCAGACAUUAUACCAUGAUCUCAGUGCUUCCAGAAUCCUGUUCGUUCCGGAUUCAAAUCCUAGGCUCUCCUGCUUUGGCCUUUUCAAGAAUAGCAAGGAUGGCAAGAGCAAUAAUAUUACCAACCUGGAUUUUGCCCCUCCAGAAUACUUGACGACAAGUAAUUCCGUUAUUACUUCAGUUGAUGUAAAACAGUAUUCAAAUACUAGGUUCUCCUGCUUUGGUCUUGUCAAGAAUAGCCAGGAUGUCAAGAGCUAUACUACCAACCUGCUUGUCUACCCUCCAGAAAACUCUUAAGACAGGUAAAACCAUAAAUCAUCCAAUGGAAAAUAGAUGCGUGAAUUUUUAACACGCUCUCGAGUUGAUGAAGUUUUUAGUUAAGCUAAAGUACCAUCUUCUGUUUGCCUGGACGUUUGAGACCAGAAAGUUCUGUUUACAGCUUUGGGACCAUAUUGUUUGAUCUGCUCUGCGGUGCACAUACCCCCCCAAGUCUUGUAACUUUCUUCUUCCUUAAUAUGUUCCAUUAAGUCUGACCAACAAGAAUAUAUAUUACAAAAGGCAACUUGUGUUUAACUGUGCUUUAAGUUAAAGCUAUAUCUUGUUGUGCCUCAUUCUCAGCAUCUCCUGAUCAUACAACUGGCUUUAAAUGUUUAUGAACUGGAUUAUGAUUACAAUUCCAUACAGACCAGUUGUAAUAUUAAGGAGGCUCUAGCUAAAUACUUUUCAUUCCUUUUCCUUUCUUGGAAGGCACUUGACCUCAUACGCGGUAAAAACGUUAAGAGGCUGAUGGAUCCAUACUUGGAAGCCCAGUUCUCAAAUGACGAUGUAACUAAGUUAGUGCAGUUGGCUUCACAGUGUUUGCAGCAUGAACCUCUUGAGAGGCCAAAUGCCAAGUUUCUUUUGACUGCCCUCAUUCCUCUUCAGAAAGAAACUGAGCUAUCAUCUGUGUGGUUUGUAUAUGCAGCAGGUUCCAUCAUACGUUCUGAUGGGUAUUCCACCUGGAAAUGUGCCUCCAUUUGAGACAUAGUUAUUUAGUGUCAAAGAGCAUAGGGCUGGACAAUUAUGCAGAGGAAGCUCUAAAAGCCGGCACAUACUUGGAAGUAAAAAAUAUAUAAGCUGAAAAGUGUAUGGGGAGGGGGGUUUCCAAUUCUUUCAACUAAACUUGUAUUCAGUCAUGAACAAUCACGCUUUAGCAUAUUUGAACUCUGCUCCGCAGCACCAAAGGAGUAACUGUAUAUUAGGUUGGUGUUGGUGUUUCUUUUCAUGUAUUUUGGUCCCAAGGGUUCAACAGAAGUCAAAUUACUUGUUUGUUUUCC